GUAGGUGGCAAGCGUUGUCCGGAAUUAUUGGGCGUAAAGCGCGCGCAGGUGGUUCUUUAAGUCUGAUGUGAAAGCCCCCGGCUCAACCGGGGAGGGUCAUUGGAAACUGGGGAACUUGAGUGCAGGAGAGGAAGGUGGAAUUCCACGUGUAGCGGUGAAAUGCGUAGAUAUGUGGGGGAACACCUGUGGCGAAGGCGACUUUCUGGCCUGUAACUGACACUGAGGCGCGAAAGCGUGGGGAGCAAACAGGAUUAGAUACCCUGGUAGUCCACGCCGUAAGCGAUGAGUGCUAAGUGUUGGGGGGGUUUCCCGCCCCUCAGUGCUGCAGCUAACGCAUUAAGCACUCCGCCUGGGGAUACGGUCGCAAGACUG
rnacentral:rRNA from 1 species